UGGACUUCUUGGUCUUUACAGAGGAUGUGU
rnacentral:piRNA from 1 species